rnacentral:lncRNA from 1 species
CGCAGAUAUUUUCGGAAGCCGAUGCACGGGAGAACACCGCCCCGCACCCAAAAAGAGGGGUGCGCGGAAAAGUUCAGCGUUUCUCUUCUGGCCGCAAGAAACGGAACAUAGACUUGACAGCCGGGGGAAACCACUAACACUCUGUGUCUCGGAAAAUGGUGGUUGUCCAGAGUAAUCUUCGAGGCAGACACGGUGUGUGUGUAUGUCGUGAGAGACGAGGCACCAGCGAGCCGAAGAUCGCCCGCGAAGCUUCUCUUGAGACAGUUUCCCCAGCUUCCGGCAUUCGGAAAGAGGCCGAUUUUCUGCGCAAGUCACUGCUGUCGACUAUCCUCUGACCCCCAGAUGCGCGUCAGGAUCCUGUAUAGUCCCCAGACCCCAAAGAAAUGCUUUGACCCCGAGAACGCCACUAGGACGCGUAAAGAAAGUACAUACGCACGUUGAGCGAGUGUGGCAGAAGCAAGCGACAGGAGCGUUGCGUGUCGAGAGGUGCGAAGCAGGCGCAGGGUGUCCAGGGUUUUUUCUUUUGGCUUUUGCCGCGAACAGACUGGCGCUCAGACGGGAGCGAGGAAACGUUCCCGCUAGGAAUCCUGCAGAACGGCCACGGUUCAGUCCGGGUGUAUCCCCUGUUCGCGAGAGACCCGAACAAUGUCUUUUCAGAGAUUCGAUGUUCCCCGGUGAGAAAUGGUUCGUUGUGCGUCGACCUACAAGUCUAGUCCAAGAUGUAUCUAUUGCCAGGUCGGUCUAAAACUGGCUACAUCCCAGUCAUAGAAUGUUGACCUGUAUGAACGUCAUGAUAUGCACCGUAGUCUACCAAAGUUAGCGUGUGCGGUUUUCCGGGAAAACAGAGGGCGAUCUUCUCUAGCCGCAAAUUACAUCUGGGAAGAGUUUUCUCGGCGGUUGCCCAUCACUUUUGCGUGUGAGUGCGAACAGGGUCGGUACACGGUAGAAGGUGGCCCAUUCUCCCCACGGCUUUCUUUAAGGCUUCUGGCGCCCAGAAAAGAGUGUUCUUGUGUUUCCAACAUGGAG